ACAAGGAUUCCCCCUAGUAACUGCGAGUGAAGCGGGAAAAGCUCAAAUUUAAAAGCCGCAAGGCGUUGUAAUCUAGAGAAGUGUUUUCGGCCGCUGCCUCGAACAAGUUCCUUGGAACAGGAUGUCGAAGAGGGUGAGAAUCCCGUACUUAUCGAGCUCCCAGCGUCUAUGUGAUACACUUUCGAAGAGUCGAGUUGUUUGGGAAUGCAGCUCAAAACGGGUGGUAAACUCCAUCUAAAGCUAAAUAUUGGCGAGAGACCGAUAGCGAACAAGUACCGUGAGGGAAAGAUGAAAAGCACUUUGGAAAGAGAGUUAAACAGUACGUGAAAUUGCUAAAAGGGAAGCGCUUGAAGUCAGUCGCGUUGCAUGAACUCAGCCGCAAGGCGCAUUUUCUUGUAACGGGCCAACAUCAGUUUCGACCGCGGAAUAAGGAUUUGAGGAAGGUGGCAGCCUCGGCUGUGUUAUAGCCUCUUGUCGUACGCCGCGGUUGGGACUGAGGAAUCUUAGGAUGUUGGCGUAAUGGCUUUAAGCGACCCGUCUUGAAACACGGACCAAGGAGUCUAACAUGUCUGCGAGUGUUUGGGUGUCAAACCCAUGCGCGCAAUGAAAGUGAACGUAGGUGCGAGGCCUCGGCCGCAGCAUCGACCGAUCCGGAUCUUUAGUGAUGGAUUUGAGUAAGAGCAUAUAUGUUGGGACCCGAAAGAUGGUGAACUAUGCCUGAAUAGGGCGAAGCCAGAGGAAACUCUGGUGGAGGCUCGUAGCGAUUCUGACGUGCAAAUCGAUCGUCAAAUUUGGGUAUAGGGGCGAAAGACUAAUCGAACCAUC
rnacentral:rRNA from 1 species